rnacentral:rRNA from 1 species
UACGGAGGGUCCAAGCGUUGUUCGGAAUCAUUGGGCGUAAAGCGCGCGCAGGCGGAUCAGCAAGUCAGGUGUGAAAUCUCGGGGCUCAACCCCGAAACUGCGCCUGAAACUGCUAGUCUAGAAUAUCGGAGGGGGCAGGGGAAUUUCACGGUAGUAGGGGUAAAAUCCGUAGAGGAUGGUGAAGGAACACCGGGGGCGAAGGCGCCUGCCUGGACGAUUAUUGACGCUGAGGCGCGAAAGCGUGGGGAGCAAACAGG